GUUUGGAUAGUGUGGCUCUAUUGUGGCUUCGGUGCUUGUUGUGCUGGUUUAUUCUGGUGCAUCAGGAAAAGAAAACAAAUGGGAGCAGGUGGAGCUCACACAGACUUUGUAAAAACCACGGUGACUUCUGCUCAACUGUGAUCCAGUAGCAUUUAUAUACUGCACUGUGCAGGAUGUAAAGUCAUCUGUAACUGAGGAGAGUCCUUAUGAUGAGGUGAACAUUAGGCAUCACUGACUGAGUCUCCCCCUCCUGCCCCUGUUCGAGUGAAAACUGCACCAUCUUCAAUACAUUCCAUCUGUACUGAAAAAAGUCAUUCAAUGACAUUUUGUGCAUAUAGAUCUAUAAUGUUCUUGAUUGGGUUGAGGGUAUGAGGUUUCAUAUCUCUCAAUAACAACUCACAAACUUCUCUGUGCAUCUGCAGAUCUCCUUAGGGACUGUUAGUUAUUUAUUUAAGGGGCUA